GGGCCUGUAGCUCAGUUGGGAGAGCGGGCGCUUCGCAUGCGUCAGGUCGGCAGUUCGAGUCUGCCCAGGUCCA
rnacentral:tRNA from 1 species